AGGGAUUUGAAAAGGAGAUUUCAAUCAUCUCCGCCAACUCCUAAUAUUGUAGGAUUUUGAAACUUCACGAUAGUGGUGUGAUUAAUGGCACUAUAUCUCCUUCUCUUCACUCAUAAUUUGUUUUCGAAAAAUAUUUACAUGAUGUUGGGAAAUAUUUUGACGAAAAGGUUCCAAUUCCCUUGUUUCUGGGUUCUUGUACAGAUUACUAGAGUCAUAUUUCAAAAUUCACCAUGUCUUGUGUGUUAAUAAUAUCACUGAUUGGGUUGUUAAAAGUGGUCUCUGAUUGAUUGGUUGCAAAGGAAUGAUGUUGGAUUACCAUAUUGCCCAUCUGCCCUUUAUUUUAUAGUCUUUUCUAUAUAGGGCCAUGGACGUUCAGUUUACAUGAAGACAGGGUUCACCAGUUUCGGUUCUUUAAGGACAAUUUAGUUUUUGGUAUG
rnacentral:lncRNA from 1 species